UGCAAACUGGUCCCACCCAUGGCAUCAAUUGUCUAGAAGUGUGUUUCACUGACUUAAACCUGUACAUCUAUCCAAGACAAGAACAUGUGGCACCUAUCAAGGGCCUUUAGACAGACACUUUGUGGAAUACCUCUGACUGCU
rnacentral:lncRNA from 1 species